CUCAGUUGCUCUGUUAAACAGCAAAAUUCCCAAGUCCUCAUCUCAAUGAGCCACUGAGGCCGAUGAAGAGGGCCUGUCUCAUUUAGGACAUGAGUGGCCAGGCGGGUGCCACAGGCCCUUUUCCUGGUGACAACAAAGCCAUUGCAUGGCUCCAGGAAGGCCACAUCAUUUCCUGGGUUUCGUAGGCGCCUGCGGGGCGGAAACAGUUCAGCAGGGCCCUCCUGAUCACAAGGACGAGGUCAUACCGGCUGCUGCAUGGCAGGGCUGCACUCUGCCAGGGAGCGUCCUGUGAUGGAGGGGCUGCACUGCCACUUUACUGAUGAGGAAAUUAAGGUUCAGAGAGAUGAGGUCAUUUCUUAGAGGCCAGACAGCCUCCUCAGCCCAUUUAUAAGGUUGUUUCUGUGGUAUUUGCCAUAAAGCCAUAGGUUCAUUGAUUUGUUCUUAAGUAGUUCUGAGCCCUUCCUGCAUAUCAGGCAGGGACAAACAGGAAAGUCCCUGCCUUUGGCAAGUGCGGGGGAAAUGAAAUGAUUCUGCUUAGCCGCAUCCAUUGGUCUGAACAAUCACGUCUCAUGACCGCAGGGACGCGGCUUCCCCUGAAUGCGGAUCCUAGAGGCCAGGCAGAAGCAGCAUGGGUUUCCACUCACACGGUUGACUCACAGUUUGGAGCAAGAAUUAAAGAACCACGAACUUCAAGGUAAAACGGGCAACGGCGUUGGGGCAAGCCUCUCUGCACCUGCGUGUCCAGCCUCUCCUGCAUGCCAGAAGUCCCCAGGCAGGAGUGUGGUGGGACAUCCGGCUGGGGUAAGGACAGGCACCCUCCCACAGUGUCAGGGCCCAGAGAGUGGGUGGAGAAGCUCUGCAAGAGACCUGUGCAAGGGCGCCUUGUAGGAGCCUGCAGUCCCCACAGGUGUGUUUGUGGAUAACACUUGGGGAGCCCUGGCCUUUUGGGGUCAUGGAGGGCUUGGCCUCUCACCUCAGAGCUGCGGAGGAGCCGCUUCUACAUCAGGACAUCAGAAGCUGGAACAGGAUGACCGGCAAGGGGCCUCUGGUUGGGGUCACAGAGAUGGGUCGCAGAGAUGGCCCGUGUGGAAGUCUGGAUGAAGUGCUUCAUGCCUGUAAUCCAAGCACUUUGAGAGGCUGAGGCGGGUGGAUGGCUUGAGCCCAGGAGUUUGAGACCAGCAUGGAAAACAUAGAGAAACCCCGUCUCAAUAUAAGAAGAAGAAGAAAAAGAAAAAAAAAAAUCAAAAACGAAAACAACACAAAUUUUAGGGUAAGUAUUUUAAGUUCCACAAAAACCUGGUUAGGAUUUGGAUAGCAAUUUCUUUAGUUCUACAAAUCAAUUUGGAAAAAAUUAAUUAAUUUGGGAAGAAUUCAUUUUGAGUCUUCUAAUCCAUGAACAUGGUAUCUCCAUUUGUUUAGACCAUCUUUAAUGCCUACUAAUAACAUUUCUGUAUAGUGACCUUGCACAUUAUUCUUAGAUUCUUGAUAUUUUGUGCUAUUAUGUCUUUUUAUAAAUUUUAUUUUUCCAACAUUGUUGCUAAUAUAUAGUAAGAAAAUGGAAUCUUGCCUAUGGAUUUUGAACCCAACAACUUUGCUAAACUCCUCUGAAUCCUCAGAAUUUCCUUGUGGAUUAUGUAGGCUCUUCUGCAUACACAACCAUAUCAUUUGUGAAUAAAGACAGUUUUGCUUUCUUCUUCACAAACUACCCGACUCACUGUGCAGUCUGCCACAUCCAGGCUGAUAUUGAAUAGCAGUGGCACUAAUAGGAUUCUUUGUCCCCUUGCCAAUCUUGUAAAGAAAGCUUUCAACAUUUUCCUGUUAGCUCUGUUGGCAGCUCUGACUUUUUCCAUAGAUGGCCUUCAUCAGCUUAACAAUGGGUCUUUUCUUCCCAGAGGGCUGAGCUUUUCCUUAAGAACAGACAGUGAGUGUCAUCAAACACUAGGCUGCAUCUGUUGAGAUGGUCAUACGACUUGUGUCUUUUCCUGUGUUUGUGUGUGAACUCUCUGGGUGUCUGAGAGUUCUUGUGACUUUCACAGAAGAACACAAUUUACCUUCCGGUGUGGGAAGGGGAAGGAGGCAGAGGAAGAAAGACCCCCAAGUCCCCCUCAUCCCCACUGACCUUCCUGCUGGCUUCGUCCUUGAUCUGUGCCUCCUUAGAUGCUGUGUUUGAGUACUUGCAGUCAUGAUGACAGGGCCAACCUCCUGACCAGGGCUGUUAGCACCUCCCCUGUUGCCCAGAGCCCCUGCUCCAAACCACUUCCUUCAUCUUCUGUACCCCCAGCCAAUAUUUCCCUGCCCAGUGUCAACCCAGGCCCAGAACCAGACCACAAGGGACAGCCCCGGAACCCAGAAUCAGACAAAUCAGCCCGUCCCAAGCUGUCUCCCCUGCUCUGCCCGGCUUUCACAGGGAAGCCAACACAGGCUGUGGCUUGGCCUUUCCCUAGCUCCUUUCUGCCUCCUGCUCUGCCUGCGGCUUCCCCCUGCCGCCCUGCGGGGCCUGCCACGUCUCUCAUUUCUAGCGAAUGUUUCAAGAGCGAUGUUAGACUUUCCUUUCAAUAGCGUUGACCUCUGUUAGGCACCUUUAUGGAUUAAGACCUGGGCAUAGAUGGUUUCUUCGGCAUCACGACCUGAAGGUGCUUGGGAGAGACGGUGAGGAGGAGAAUGCACCCUGCCAUGCUCUGCACCGCACAUGGAUGCGGAUUUCACCAUGUUGGCCAGGCUGGUCUGAAACACACGGAGCCCAAGCGCCCGGUGGACCCUCUGACGGUCCUCGGGCAUGUGCCUUUGUAAGCAGAGUAUUCAGCUCUCAUCAGGGCCUCGCCAGAGCAGAAAUGGUCUGUUGAUAAAUGCAUCGUAUACAAUUACAAAUGUGCACCCAGCAUUGCUGCUUCCUCUUUUUUUUUGAUAUAGGGACUUGCUCUGUCGCCCAGGCUGCAGUGCAGUAGGGCAGUCACAGCUCACUGCAGCCUCAACCUCCCAGGCUCAAGCAAUCCUUCCGCCUCAGCCUCCUAAUUAGCUGGAACUACACAUCCAGCUAUUUUUUUUUUUCUUGUAGACACAGGAUCUCACCAUGUUGGCUAGGCUGGUCUUAAACUCCUGGGCUCAAGUGAUCCGCCCACCUUGGGCUCCCAAAGUACUGGCAUUACAGGUGAUGUAAAAUUCUCAAACAAUGAGAUAGAUAAAAAGUACGCAGCCAAAAAGUUCAAGAAGAAGUGUUAUGGAGAUGGAGCAGGCCCUUCGUAAAAACACGAUGUUGGUUUUCUGGAUUUUGUAUGUUUGCUUUUUUUUUUUCCUCAUCCUAAAGAAAUAUUCACUGUCAUACCUAAUU
rnacentral:lncRNA from 1 species